UACAGAGGGUGCGAGCGUUAAUCGGAAUUACUGGGCGUAAAGCGCACGUAGGUGGCGACGUAAGUCGGGUGUGAAAGCCCCGGGCUCAACCUGGGAAUUGCAUUCGAGACUGCAUUGCUGGAGUACGGAAGAGGAAGGCGGAAUUCUUGGUGUAGCGGUGAAAUGCGUAGAUAUCAAGAGGAACACCUGAGGUGAAGACGGGUUGCUGGGCCAACACUGACGCUGAGGCGCGAAAGCCAGGGGAGCAAACGGG
rnacentral:rRNA from 1 species